CCUACGGGCGACAGCAGUGAGGAAUAUUGGUCAAUGGGCGCGAGCCUGAACCAGCCAAGUAGCGUGAAGGAUGACUGCCCUACGGGUUGUAAACUUCUUUUAUAGAGGAAUAAAGUGAGGCACGUGUGCCUUUUUGUAUGUACUUUAUGUAUAUGGAUCGGCUAACUCCGUGCCAGCAGCCGCGGUAAUACGGAGGAUGCGAGGGUUAUCCGGAUUUAUUGGGUUUAAAGGGAGAGUAGAUGGGUUGUUAAGUCAGUUGUGAAAGUUUGCGGCUCAACCGUAAAAUUGCAAUUGAUACUGGCAGACUUGAGUACAGUUGAGGUAGGCGGAAUUCGUGGUGUAGCGGUGAAAUGCUUAGAUAUCACGAAGAACUCCGAUUGCGAAGGCAGCUUACUAAACUGCAACUGACAUUGAUGCUCGAAAGUGUGGGUAUCAAACAGGAUUAGAUACCCGAGUAGUC
rnacentral:rRNA from 1 species